ensembl:lncRNA
CAGCUACAGUCAACAUCUCUGUCAGACCACCAACAUACAAACAAACACUUGAGGCAACUUAGCAAACUUUAGCUAGCAUUUUAGCAGAGGUUCACAACUGAGGCAUGGGCCACAGCACAAAACUCCGCAUUUGAACAGUCAAUAGCAGAUACUUCAUAUAAUAAUCAAACACACUUACAGGUUCUGUUUCAGAAGCAUAAGAUUAUCUGAGCAAAGAGGAAAUCCGGACACAAAACUCCGCAUUUGAACAGUCAAUAGCAGAUACUUCAUAUAAUAAUCAAACACACUUACAGGUUCUGUUUCAGAAGCAUAAGAUUAUCUGAGCAAAGAGGAAAUCCGGAGUAGUCUUUGUGUGUAGUCUGCGUUACACUCACCCAGGUUCAGGAAGCUGUCCUCUGUAAAAUGCGCUGUGCACAAGAAAAUUUUUGGUUUGUACUGCUCAGGAACAGCGUCAUCAAUAAACAGUAACCACUCAUUCCUAAUUCAAUCUGUUUCCAGAAGGCAAAACAAAAUGGUUUUGCUUUCUCACUGAAACACACUCCAUGACAUGGUGCCUGAAUUCACUGAAGCCUCG